AGUGAACGCUGGCGGUAGGCCUAACACAUGCAAGUCGAACGGCAGCACAGUAAGAGCUUGCUCUUACGGGUGGCGAGUGGCGGACGGGUGAGGAAUACAUCGGAAUCUACUUUUUCGUGGGGGAUAACGUAGGGAAACUUACGCUAAUACCGCAUACGACCUACGGGUGAAAGCAGGGGAUCUUCGGACCUUGCGCGAUUGAAUGAGCCGAUGUCGGAUUAGCUAGUUGGCGGGGUAAAGGCCCACCAAGGCGACGAUCCGUAGCUGGUCUGAGAGGAUGAUCAGCCACACUGGAACUGCGACACGGCCCAGACUCCUACGGGAGGCAGCAGUGGGGAAUAUUGGACAAUGGGCGCAAGCCUGAUCCAGCCAUACCGCGUGGGUGAAGAAGGCCUUCGGGUUGUAAAGCCCUUUUGUUGGGAAAGAAAAGCAGCAGGUUAAUACCCCGCUGUUCUGACGGUACCCAAAGAAUAAGCACCGGCUAACUUCGUG
rnacentral:rRNA from 1 species